CUAGUCUAUAGCCUAAUGACUAAAGUUCUCCAUCGGUUUUCCACAUAAAACUCCUAGGGGAAGGAACUGACGCAACCAGAAUCGUUCAAGAAAUAUCUGUCCACCCUGGAGUCAACUACAGUGUUGUGUUCGAGACCACCUAAAUUGAGACCAAUUCAAGACCAAGACCGGAGCAAAUCGAUUCUAAUUCAAGACCAUGAUUGUAAUUGUGUCAAAUCGCCACCAUAAUAAGAGUUCAAAAUGUCCAGUAUUUCUGUGUUCAUAUUUCAGAACAACAUUUGGAUUCUUUAGACAUUCAGAAUGUUGAUAAAAAUGCACGUCCAGGUUUCAAUAGACGAUAAGAUAUUAAUGUAUCAUCAAAUGAGUGUGGAUAUUUUGAUUGGAAAAGUGGAUUUAUGCGCUUACUGAAUGGAAGCUGAUAAUUCUGAAUGUUUUAUUCCACUGAUCUCGGUUGGUCUCUGUCACAUCCUGACCCUAGUAAGAUAUUAUUUUCUAUAGUAGAGUAGGUCAGGGCGUGACAGGGGGUGUUCUUGUGUUUUUCAAUGUUUUCAAUUUCGAUGUUUGUGUUCUAGGUUUUCUAUUUCUAUGUUGUUGUUUUUUGGGUUGAUCUCCAAUUGGAGGCAGCUGGUCCUCAUUGCCUCUGAUUGGAGAUCAUAUUUAAGUGGGUAGUUGUUUUCCGCUUUGUCAAGUGUACCUGAUGGAACUGUUGGCUGUCGUUUUGUUGUUUUGUUUAAGUUCUUCAUUAAAGUUAAGAAAUGAGCACUCUACACGCUGUGCCUUGGUCCCCUUUAUACAACUCGCGUUACAGAACUACCCACCAUGACUGGAUCAAGUGGCGUGCCCGGGCAGAAAUGGACACCUGGUCACAUACGGAGUGGAUGGAGAGGAGGAACUGGACUUGGGGCCAGUGUGCCUCCAUAGCACAGUACGUCCUGUGCCUGUUCUUCGCGCUCUCCCUCCAGUGCGCCUCCAUAACCCAGUACGGCCGGUGCCUGCUUUGAGCACUCGGUCCUCAGUGCGUCUCCCCAGUCCGGUGAGGCCGGUUCCUGCUCCACGUACAAAGCCUC
rnacentral:lncRNA from 1 species